rnacentral:rRNA from 1 species
AAUUUUGGACAAUGGGGGCAACCCUGAUCCAGCCAUCCCGCGUGUGCGAUGAAGGCCUUCGGGUUGUAAAGCACUUUUGGCAGGGAAGAAAAGGCGCGGGCUAAUACCCGGCGCCGCUGACGGUACCUGCAGAAUAAGCACCGGCUAACUACGUGCCAGCAGCCGCGGUAAUACGUAGGGUGCAAGCGUUAAUCGGAAUUACUGGGCGUAAAGCGUGCGCAGGCGGUUCGGCAAGAAAGAUGUGAAAUCCCGGGGCUUAAACUAGGAACUGCAUUCUUAAAUGCCAGGCUAGAGGAUGUCAGAGGGGGGUAGAAUUCCACGGGUAGAAGUGAAAUGCGUAGAGAUGUGGAGGAAUACCGAUGGCGAAGGCAGACCCCUGGGAUGAUACUGACGCUCAUGCACGAAAGCGUGGGGAGCAAACA